rnacentral:lncRNA from 1 species
UUUUUUUUCUGGUUUUGGAUUUUGGUUUUAGAUUCCCUACUUUACGGCAGAAGCCAAAACGACGACGGUUCCUGAUUUUGAACAUUGCGUACUAUCAACGUACGAUUGACCGUAACGCCUCCUCAGAUUGGAAGUCUCGAUGCUUGAAUUCUUGAAACUCCGUCCCAUUUGUCUAAUAUAUAAAUUAUUCAAAUCUUUUUUCAAACUGUAAUUUUGGAUUUGCCUGUUUUUUUCUUUUCAUAUGAUUAUAGCUGUGCAGAUUUUUCUAUUACGAAAAAUAAAACUGCAGCCAAAUGACAUGAAUUGUCAUCAUUAAACAAUUUAAAUUUUUUAUUUUGGCUAAUAAUUAAUUUUCUUCAAUCAAUUCAAAAAUAUACACCUUUAGUCAGUCAACCAUACAAACGCAUAUUUUUUUAGUGAUUUAACUUUCUGUCUAGAAAUUAUAUGUUUUUAUUAUUUAUUUUUUUUACCACCUCACUAAAUAAAAGAGUGAAGUGGACCAAAACAGGAAUUUUAUAUUAAUUUGGUAACCAUUUACUUCAUCAUUUGCUCUAUUAGUAUGUAUAUUAGUAAAUUAGAAAAAGCCCUAAGAUGUAAGAAGGCAGCUUCGGCCCAAAAAGAGAAUCUGUAUAAGCGGCUAGUUAGCACACCCUUGCCCAGCACCGGUUCCAUUUGAAGUCCAAACUUAGUUCCGCGCAGUCCAACGGGCAAUUCUCUUGGCAAAUGCUGGGCUAUUCAGCCCGUUUUAUCUAUAAUACCACGUAAUAGUGGUCGAUCCGAAUUCUUUUUUUUAGUAUUUUUAAUCGUGUUCUUACUGUUGACCUUUUCUUUUCUUUUUUAUUUUUAAUCGGAUUUGGAAGAUUCGUGAAUUGUCGAGUAGGAUUUGUUGUAAACAAUAAACAAUGCUGAUUUGGAAGAGAAUCUGUAAACUCAGUCAUUUUUGGUGCAAAGAGAACAAAAUGUGUGAACGCUCUAAACUAAACUAGUUUGAUUUUGGAGUUAGGUCCUACUGCGUCACCACACCUGUAAAAUUUUGAUUACGUGGUUAUCGUUAGUUUCAAAUGUUGGUGGUUCUUAUCCUGGAUUAGGGGUCCACUGAAGUGUAUGUUAAUAUCACUUGGCACUCAUAAAAUUUUAAAAAUAUUAUUAUUAAUUUCUCCUAAAAUCAUACCUUUUGUAACAAUCUCAUCCUUGUAUCAUUAAAAUAUUCUUAUAAAUAUUUAAUAAGAGAGAUAUUUUCUCCUAAUUCUCCUUUUUUGUUUUGUCUUAUAUUAAAUUUUCUACCAAUUUGAUUAUAAUAAAAUAUUUAUAUAUUUUACUUAAAAAUUUCUCUUUAUUAAUGUUUUGCCUAAAAAUUGUUAAAAUAGCAAAGAUAAUUUUGUCAGUUUAUAUGCUCUGAUAGUAAUCAAUGGUCUUUCUACCCAAAAAAAAAUCAAUGGUCCCAUCUAUAAAUUGUAAAAUGAAAGUUAAGUGAUAUUUCUAAAACUUUAAGAAUGCCAAAUGACAUUAUCAUAAAUCUUAAGAAGGGUUUCUAAAAUUAUUUUCUAGUAAAAAGUAUACCUUCUUACAAAUUCAAUUGGCAAAAAUAUACACUCAAUAGUUAAAAAUGGUCGAUAAAGUUAACCAAUUAUAUAAUUUGAGGAUCAUUCAUUUUUUGCCCUCCAUUUUUUGUGCAUAUCGUUCAACUUCACUCAAACUCAAGACAAGGCCCUUCUUUUCAAAAUUGAACUACCACUAAAAAGGGAAACACUCAUAGCCAGAAAUUACUUUAGUCAUUUGUGAAAAACAUUUUCUUGGUACAUAUGGCCCAACUGUGACAUUUUUUUUACAUUUGGUUUGUUUGGAUAGAGAAUUAUUUGGAAUAAUUACUGCAGCACUUUUUGUGAUGUGAUGUAUGUGAGAUAAAAAGUUGAUUGAAAAUAUAAAAAAAUGAAUUGAGAAAUACGUUUAUAAUGCAAGCGAAGUAUUAUUUAGAAUAAUAUGUGUUGAGAAAUGUGUUUUAAUGAAAUAAAAGAUCUCGAAUCUAGAGCCCCUCCUUUCAAACCCCUCGACCCAUUCCUCCCCCCAUCCAACUGUAGCUUAAACUCAAACACUCUCAACAGGAAAUUACUUUAAUAAUCUUUUUUUAAAAACGAAUUCUUGGCAUGCAUUGGCCGACUGUAGCUUAAACUCGAGACCUCUCAGCCCAGAGAUGACACUGUUCCACAGAGGGAAACUCCUUGGUAAUUUCAUCGUUUGAUUCCAGCAGAACCAUCAUAUACAUGGUCCUUAUCGUCCUCCCGUUAAAAGUCCGACCAAACAACUUCUGCAGUGCUUUAGGAAUAUUUUGGUGCCGAAGUAGUCAACAUGAUUCGGGCAUACAACCGGAUCAUGACUUAAAAACUUAGCCAAGCAGCCAUUUCUUUUAAUUAUAUAUUGCCCCACACAAAAUCGUGUCAAGAUGCAGUGAUCAAUCACAAAUUACAGCAAAGCAUACAGGCAAACCUUACCACGAAUCUUCACUAGGCAAAGCAGGGGAAAAUAAACAAAGGAAGAAAUUAAGAGCAAUUUGUUAAUUUACAUGAAAUUUGUCUCUUCACAUCUCUCCGCCUCUGAAAAGUAUGAGCCUGAGGUACCAGUUUUAGUAUGAAUCAUAAAGAGCAAAAUGCCAGAAAUCACCAGCAGAUAGAUGGCCAGUCCUGUAAAUUGGUCAAAUCCGCCCAAAUAAACCUUCAAGGAAUCUUGAGCAUCAUGUGCAUUGUGUCAUCGAUAUGUUCAUCUUCGCCACUUCCUCUCUGGAAAAAAAGUAAAAUCUCAUUGUGAACAAAAAGAUACAAGGCUACAAGCCAAACAUCAACCGCAUACAAAUAAAAAACCACAGACAAUAUUAAAAUAAUAAAUUUUUUUUUAAAAAAAAGAAGAAAAAGAAAAAGCCAACACUGGAUGAAACACAUAAUAAUGAUUACACAUGAAAUCAACUUGUCAACAAGCUCUCUGUAGAGCUAAAAAAACCAAAAUACCUUGAGGAGAAUGAGUUCCAUUUCCCUUGGCAGCCUGCUGUGCCUGAGACAGAGACCGCUGGACACGAGGUGACCCCUGUCUUGUGUUUGAACCAGAUAGGGAUUGUCUUUUUUUAAUGUACACAUCCUUGUACUGCAUAUCAGGACUUGAUCUUGGAGAGUUAUUAGCAAGAGCUUUGGCUCUUGCUGAUUCUGUUGCUUGCAUAUAACUCGGCAGAGAGUUGCUACUACUACUUUCCCUUGGUUCUUGAUCACCAUGAUCAGUUUUAGCUGUCCCAAAGGAGUCGCGCCGCUUCCCUGCUUUGUGCUCCCUCGAUAAAUGCUCUGAGCUACUUCUUGCACCAUUAUCUUCAUUAGGUUCCAAUUGGGAUUCUUUACCAGUAGAUACAGGUCCAUGUUUAUGUUUGGUACCAUGCUUCCCACUCCUGAUUCUCUUGGGCUUCACUGACACCUGACUAGAAGGUGUUCCAUGGGAUUCAGGGAUUGUUACAUGGCUUCUUGGAGAAGCUUCAGGUGAAGAUUUAGACACUGGAUGGCUUGACUCAGAUUCCAUCUCCACAAGCACACCAGUGGCAAUAGAAUCUGGCUUCUCCUCUAUCUCAGACGAUUCAACAGUCACUAUGGAGCUCACAUGCUCGGAUUCAACAGCAGUACUGCUCUCCUGUUUCUCUGGCUGACUCGAAUUUGAGUGUGAUACAUCUCUCUCGGAGAGUAUGGACUCAACCUUUUCAUCAACUUCCAAGUUUAGACUGCUCUUAGGAUUUUCAGUGCCGUACUCCGAACUUUUGGUUUCCUUCUCAAAAUCAACCACUCCAACCUCAGACCUAUCCGGAGAAUCAAGUGUGGAAGAAAUAGAAAGUUCAGUCCCACAUUCAGAGCCACCAACUUGAAUUCCAGAAGUUUGGGGAAUAGAACUUUCAGCAUGAUCAAUUUCCCUGGCACCAAAUGCAUGAUUUGUGCCAGGUGAAACAGCAUCCAUAGAAUAAUCUACACCAGCAUCUUGAUUGGACAAACCAACUGAUUUUCCUAAAUUGGCAGCUGAACUAAGUUCUUCAAACUUCGAUUGAACUGCAAUAAAUGCAGGAUUUGAUGCCUUUCUUGAUACGAAUGAAGAUUUCUUUCCAUCAAUUUCAGAACCUUCAGGUGCAGUUCUCUCGGACACGUCCACAUGCUGCCUGUGUUCCAUUUCAGAUUGAUCAUGAAAUGAAUCAGGCUCAGCUUUGCAAACAUCAGAUGCUCUAUGAUGAUCAGAUAGAGAUUCUAAUGUGUUAUUGCUCAAAUUUGCUUGUUCAACAUUUUGAGGAUCGGACUGCUUGUGACUCACUGAAGAUACGGUUGGCCUGCAUUCUUGAAAGUUGUAGCUGUCUGCAUCAUAUGUGAUGACAUUAUUAUCAGCUUCGGAAGCCAGUGACAAUGCUUCAGCACUAGUCUUGAUGUCUCUUGAUUGACAAUUUUCUGGAGAUGAUACUGCAGUUUCUAGUUGGCAGUCUGCUUCCACGAUGUCGUCCUUACCUUGUUGAUCUUUAGCAAACUCUAAUUUCUGUGACUGUCCAUUUUCCACUGAUGCAACGGACAUCCAGCGCUCCAACCAUUUCCAGGCUGAGUCCGACUUGGAAGGAUCACACUUGAUAUUGAUGGUUUUGGUCUUGGGUGUUGAUUCCAGAAGCUUACGCCAAGAAGAGUAACAGAAAACAAGAUACAAUAGAAUAAGAUUCUCAACCAUCCAAUCUUAAUAAGAUUAAAUAAAAGACAUAGGAAUCAUAAUAACUUCUUUUACCUGACGUGCAAAUGCAUUACUUAGCAACUUCUCUAUGGAAGUAUAUGUGUAUGGCUCAGUCCCCGUAUUUUCUUUCUCCUGAACACAAUGAAGAACAUUUAGACAAGUAUUUAAAAGACAACACAGUGAAAUUUUGGAUACAAAAUUUCUCUUCCUCAAACUUUUCCAUCAGGCAAGUCAGCCUGACAAUAAGACAUCUUCAAAGUACAAUCCAGAAAUAAUACCAACAACCACAAAUUGUCUAGAUCACAAUGAAUUUUUCUAGAAAAUCAUUUUGCAUACUAUUUAUACAAGACAUAAAAAAUUAAAAAAAAAAAACUUUACCCUUAAUCCUCUUGUCCUAAAUAUGCAGGAUGGACCAACAACUCAUGCAGGUACUUGUCUAAAAGUCAAUCAAUGGAAACAGAAACAACCACCAUGAUAAACUUAACUCACGAUGAAAUUGUGAAAAGUGAUAACUUGAGCUGAACUUUUACCAUGAAUGAACCGUGAUUGUUAAUUCCAUUCUUUUCAUCUAAAUUUUCUUCAAUGUUUGACCGUUUUAGAAGCAAGCGAGCACGGCGUUUUCGGACAAGCGCUUGCAUUUUAACAAUGGCUUUGACACAUCGAAGGCUGCCCACAGCAUGCCGCCUAACUAUGUGUCCACGUACAGCAGCUUGCAACUUAAUUAUAUUCUUAUGCUUCAAAAACACUCUUUGAGCCUGGAACACAAGAAACACAUAAUAAAAAUCUAUUUUCAUCUUAAGUUUAACAAUCAAUACGUUGAAAGCCUCACCAGAUAUCUCCUAACUGCAGAUUGGAUGACAAUUACAAUUGCUUCAUCCAGGAUGCUGGCAAUUCCGUUCUCAUCCUCGGCAGAAGCUAUAGCUGAUGAUGAUUUUGAAUCCACAGGAAUUUGCACCUCGUUUUUCUCCUCUGUCCAUUGAGCAGCAGAGGUUUUAUCUCGAAUAGUAGAGCUAGCCUGCGUCUGCAAGCUGACAGCAGCAGUAUCCGGAUCAGUCUUGCUCACAAAAGGUGUUUCUGAGGUAACAGAGUUGCUCAGCACUCGAUGUCUUGCAGAUCUUUUCCGGAAACUCCACCUACUUCUAUCACUUGAGCCCUUACUCUGUAAGCAGCAAAAUCAUCGGAAGUAGGGAGGAGGAAAAAGAAUAAAACGAAGAGAUAGCAUACCAAUGAGAAAAAUGCAACUACUUGUUUAAUCAUGCACGUAUUCGCACAGCAACGAGAAAAAUGCGCAAGUGUGGAGAAAAUUUAUGUUAACAGCAUACGCUAACAAAGACUCUAAAGGUGCAAGUUCCUAAUUAUCAAUUGUGAUCUUUUAUCAGAAACAGAAAAAAGCUAGCUUCUUCCAAGAAGAAUCACACUUGGUCAGGACUCACAAUGCUCCGAAGAGCCCACAACACAUGUUAAUUUUGCUGACACACAACAUAUAUCCAUACUUUUGGAAGUUUCUUUCAAGACAUUAUCCUGCUGGAAGGUAGCUGCAAAAAGAAGACAGCAAAAUGCAUGAUAAGCAAUCAGUACAUAAUUAACCCAUUUAUUCAGAAGUUGAGAAGCCAGGAAACCACAACCAUUUCAGUCAGAUGACUUUGAUGCUGGUUAUAGGAAAUAAAAGGUGGGUGGAAGUCACUAAUAACCGCAGCGCACAAUAAAAGUUCCUUCUGAAAUUAAUAUAGAAUACCCCCUAGACAUAAACCGGAUAAGAUACUAGCAAACAUUACACUCAUGUUGUACAAUUUCAUCUACCCUCCAAUUGACAGAUGAAAUAGCCAUCAACCUGAUUUUCAAUUGAUGGUUUACAAAAUUGAAUAAUUAAACAAGCAUUUAGCCACCCUGCUACCAAGACUCACAAGCAGCCAUGACUAUGGUGGACAAUAAGCUCAGGCGCUCAUCUUUUUCUUCACAUGGGCAGACUCAGGGAGGAAACACAAGAAAUGCUCUGUUUAGAUGUAAAUGAAUUAACAUAUUUAUGUAGAUAUUUGGCCUUAAAACCACUAGUAACUUCUAAUAAUGCUUGUGCAGCAUCAGCCAUGAACCUGACAGAGCAGCCUGUUAUUUCUAAUUUUGUUGUAGUUUGUAAGUAGAUGAGAGAAACAUGUUCUUUUCUUUAGAGUAAACUUAAAUAAUAUGUCCAAAACUCAACAUACAUUAAUUAGAAUUACUUGCAUGCAUUUCAUUGCUGGCAACACAAGUCACCUCAAGCAUGUACGCCAUAUCCAUGCUACUACAUCUUGCAAAAUAUUGUUAGGCAAUAAAAUCUUGACAAAACUUGUUAUGAGCAGAAAAAUAUGAAUAUCUCAAUAAUUUUGCAGAAAAUAACAACGUAAAAAUUGCCACUAGACAAGGUUCUUGCAUUUCUUGUUCCCUCUUUUAGUAAGGCGCACCAUAAGACGCAUUGAACUACUGACUCAUCCCAGGUUUUCAAAGUGAUUGGUUCAAUUCCACAAAUUAAAUUUAAUAGAUCGAUAAGCAAUAACCUAGAAGCAUUGAACACACAUCCUCAAACUUUUAAGAAAGGAACAAUCUCACUAAAUGACCACUAUUUAAGACAAAGCAGAAACAACAAGAAGUAUCUUCUCUGGAUAGUCCAUGUCAAUCUAGCAAUGGACUACACAUUUAGAACUAUGCAUAGCUUCACAAUCAAACUUCUGCACUGUAAAAGCUCCCUUACAGUGUCGCUGAUAAAUUUAAAGCUAAAUCCGCAGCAAUUCAGGACCAACAAUAUAGAACAUCUUGAUACUCCUCCGCUAGCAACUAUAAUCUGUUCUAAUAGAAAGAAGCUAGUUGAAGGUUUGAAGAAAGACAAGAUAUCAGGUUCACAGUCUAAAAUCUAACAAAAAGCAAGAUAAUUCCAGGUGGAAAGGAAAGGAAUCAACGAGAUAACUUCCUGUACACAGAUAAAUUUCCUUCUGAGACACGGAUUCCCUUAAUAUUGCAAAUCCUGUAGCACCAUAUAUCCACGAUGACUAAUCACAAGCGAAUUUCAGAUUCAAAUCCUAAACCCCAGCCCUCAUUCCUCAAUAUCCUAAUUGAUUCAGUUAUGCAAUAAAAUGAAUCCAUUUAGACUAAGCAAAGCCACUGGAAAUCAAAAGUCAUUCUACACACUUUUCGUCGAUAAAUGAAAUGCAGAGGAAGAAGGACAAAUAAAACUCGAAACAGUGGGAUAUGUAGGAUUCUAUCUUUCCAGAAUCGAAGAUCUACUUCUAAUACCUCGUUGACAUUCAGCAUUUACCAAUGCAAUACACUAUCAAAGGAUCUUGGCAAAGUGAACAGUGACACCGAAUUAAAUCUUUUGAAGUAAUAGACAUAGCUAAUUACUUCUGGGGAAACAACUAACAACAUCGAUUUCAUACCUCGGCCGUGGCAGACUAAUCGCAUGAAUUAAGAUUCCCUAAUGAUACAUAUACUCAACCGGAGAAACCAACUAAUUGCGUAAUAAUAUGCUUUUUAGUAUGAAAUUAAUAGUGCACUUGAAUCUCUAAAUUACAUUUUUCGUUUCAUCCCUAAACUUGCCGGGUAAACAAAAGUAAGAUUUUAGUUAAACCUUAAUCCAUCUGAAAUACGGCUCCAACUUCUGAAUUUCCUAGCUCGCCAGUUCAUUCACAAUAUUGGCAUACCUCCAUACCAAUCCUCAGAUAUUACCUCAAUCUCCACGUCUACUCGCAAAGAUCCUUACUUUUCUCAUCUCCAGAAAGAAUGGAAAAAUCACGACAGUUCCCCAUCAGAAGUCAAAAACUUCAUAACAAAACAGCGGAGGAAUAACAAACCAAACCAGUAACCGAAGCAUAUACCUCAGGAGCUUGAAGAUCAUCUCUGUCGACGGAGUCAUUGUUGCCGGCGCAACUGAUGAGCUUGAAACAUGAAGCUGUGCCAGAUCUCACCAUUCUAUCGAUCGAUUUUCUCUAAUGUCGUGAUCUCACUCACGCAGUACACACACUUCUCACAGCCUCCAGCAGAGUAGUAGAACUGUUACUGCUUGGAGUCACUCUAAAGUUGGUCUUUGUUAUGGGAAAUUGUACCCAAGGCAGGACACACUGGGGGAGACGGGGGGGAGAGAGAGAGAGAGAGAGGAAGUUUUAGGAACGCCGGACCUCAACCCUCUCCUGAAAUCCAGCUCAAUAUUGCUUCACGAGUCCGCCAAGGUCCUCGUUUUCUUUUCGUCUCUCUACAUAUAUAUCCGUUGAGAUUUCAAAGCCAGAGAUGAGUGACGAGUGAGAUAAAAAGCAGUACUGUGUUUGGAAAUCCGAUUAACAAAAGUUGCCUGAUCCAUACUUUUACUAAUUUUCCUUUUUCUUUGUUGUUUCUGAAUUAAAAAACAAUUAUUGAUUAGUAUAAAAUUGAAAUAUCGGGUAAAGCUUUUUUUUUUUUUUUUAAAUCACGACAAAUUGCUUGCUUUUUUUGCUUUAUCUCGUGUCAACAGCGGACAAAGAAUGUAAAGUACCAUGCCUAGAGGUACUUGUGUUUCUUUAUCCGUUACAUGUGUUUUAGCGUUUACGCCGUAAAAAGUUUGAUACUUGCCUUUUUCUCUCUCUACAUUUUUCUUUUUUCUUUUUAAGUUUUUCGUGGAUUACCUUAUGUCCAAACAGACCAGUAUUAUGAUAUAUUACACCACAUAAAUAUUAUUUUCGCACGGAUAUGAUACCAACAAAAAUUGGAUGUGUUUGCAUUGGCAUUAUUUGUAAAAAAAUUAUUUAAUUGCAUCACUAAUACUUUUUUUUUUUUUGAGAAGAUACUUUAGAAAAAAAAAACACAAACUAAUUUUUACUAUCGGUAUUUAAACAGGUAAUCCUCGUAUGUAUCCAGUUUCCUUUUACCCUUUUCUUUUAACUAAGGGUGUGUUUUCACUUUUUUUUUUAUAUAGAUUAUUAUGGUUAACUUUGAAUUAAAAACUCAACGCGUUGCAAAUGUAUUCAAGUACAUGUGCCUAUUGGCGACAGAUCCGUUUGGAUUUGUUUUUCUUUUUUAAAUUUCGUACAAAUGUAUACUAUAAUAAUUUGACGUAUGUGUGGUAAAAUAGUGAUUAAGAAAUGUGUUUAUGUAAAAAUUUUUGUGUUAAUAAACUACGAUCCAAACGUUUUAUUCUUGUUGGCUUUCCCGUUGAACUUUGCAAAAAGAUAUUUUAGCGGGUAAAAAUUUGUCACAUAGAUUUAUGGUAAAAAAUCUUCUGCACAUAGAUUUAUCACCCGCCCAUAGAAAAACGCAAGAAAUGCAACAUAUCGGUAAAAUUUGUAGAAAUGGUCAACGCAGAGCUUAUAUAGAAAUUUCUUUAAAACUGGAUUAUGUUCUUAAAAAUGUAUUUUGCAGUCAACAGCUGACAAUUUUGACCAUGGGGGAAGGCGUCAUCAUGUAAGAUUUCCUACCAAAAGAACAUAAAUAUUUUAAUACCGCGCUUUGUCAUGAACCUUAUUUUAAAAGAAAAGAGAAGCAUGCAAAACGCUUGCAGCAAUGAGAUUACAAUACAUCAUAGAUGAGACCAUUAACAAAUAUGGCAUUUUUUCCUUACCUAUUAUUAUGUUGCCCGAACGAGUUUGCCCCUUGCCAAAGCAGACUCCAUGCAGCUGCCUAUAAUUUCUUUCUUCAUGAACUAAUAACCACGUAUGGUACGGAAUUUCUUAUAUCAGGUUGAAGCUUUCUUAACAUGCAUGGCCAGUUCCACGUAACAGCCACAAAAUUCGUUCAAGUGUGAUUUAUGGUCAUCUUUAACAGAAAUACUUAGCUAAAUGUUGUGCCCAGAAUCUCGCGAAAAUUUUAGGAAAAUAACAAAGCAAACGGUUGGUAAUAUCCUUUGGGAAAUGUUGUGUUUGGAUAGGAAAUUGUUUGGAACGUCUAGUGUAAUGUCUUUUAUGAUAUGAUAUAUGUGAGAUAAAAAGGUGGUUGAAUAAAUUCAAAAAGAAAAAUUGAUUGAAAAAUGUGUUUAUGGUACAAACAAAUAAGCGUACAAAAACAUGCAAAUACAUCUGAUCCUCCAUCUCUUUUUUUGGUUAAUCAUGCUCCAACUAUCAUUUUAAUAACAUAAUUUUCAUUUAUAAGACUAUACGAUAAAAUAGAGCGUGAGAGAGCACGGAUAAUAAAAAAUGGAGUGUAAAUUACAUUUUCCUACCUUUUCUACAAUGCAUAAUUGUAUUCAAACAAAGCACGUCAAGUUAGUGAACUAAAACGGAAGUACAUUAUUAUUAUUAUUAUUAUUAUGAUUCUUAUCAUGAAGGAAACAGCCUAAUUAGAUUAGCUUACGGAAGUACACAUGGACAUGAUUGCAUUCUAUGAUAGAUGGAAAGAGAAUUUCUUCUUUGUUCUUGAUUUUUGUGCAUCAUACAAAUGCUCAAAUACAAUACCGGGUUUGCCAAAUGCUCGGGAAAUAAAAUGAUGAAUUGGCUGCAUAAACAAGCAUCGUCGACAACUUUUAGCACUACAAGAAUGAGCCUUUGACCCCACAGGAAGGAUAAGAUCACCACACCAUAAUCAAUCUUCAAACUGCCAUUAAUUGGCCAAGUAAUUGACUGCAGUUGCAAUCAUCUCCCCCCCCCCACCCGAAUAGUUGUUACCACUUCAACUUAAAAGCCGGGUCAUUGCUAAUUAUGUCGGAUUAAUUGGUUAAUCAACUGAACCAGCAUGAUUAUCCAAUGGACCGUAAUCUGAUGCCAUUAUUACCCAUGAUGUUUGGUCAUAAUCCUGCAUGAUUAGAGUGAAUAAAGCAAGCGCGAGAAGAAGAGGAAGAUGGUGACUCGUAAUACAUCACACGAUAGACCUGCCGAGAAAGUCAAAAUGAUAGCGAAUCAUAGAGCAGAACCGCGGCGGGGGUUGGGGCCCAGAGUGGGACCAUUCAUGCGAGCGGAUGGGAAUCAUGACCUCCGGGACAGGUAACCAUCAGGAUUUGGAGGAGUAGUAAUUUAUUUAAUUAAACGGUAACGUUAAACAGGGUAAACGGAGGUUAUGGUGUGAUGCACUAUCCUUUUAGUUUGACAAACACCAAGCAACUGAAAAUUGGAUCGAGUGCUCCGAAUUUGAAUGUAGCUUUUCUUAAUCGAAUUUAUUUUGGGGUAACUAAAAUUUCCAUAAUAAUUUUCAAUCUUUCUAUGAUUGUCAACAAAUUGUUAGAUGAUAGCGUUCGAAAUAAGUUUUUUUUUUUUUUUUGAAAAAAACGGUUGCUAUUUAGUUCAGAUAAAUACAUAUUAGUUUAUAGUUCGACCUUAAGUAUGAUCAGUAAAAUAAGAUGUAAAAAUGAAAUAAUGGCCUAUAUAACUUUAAUUUUAUUCUUUUUUAGUUGUUAUAGAUUUUAAUUUGAUUAAUAAUAGUUUAUAAAUUUAAAUAUUUUGUAAUUUGGAAUUCAAGUUAGACACGCUUAGCACGAAUCAAAAUAUUAAUUACAUACAUAUCUCUACGUAUAUAUAAAGAAUUGUUCAAAGAGCUGUUUUAUAGUACAACAUAAUUGUGAAAAUGCUCAUUACUUCAAAGUUGACAAGAUCUUGAUAUCUGUUCAAGGACCACAAUAUUAUAUUAUGGCCACCACCUAGCUUGAUGAACCCUUGCCUCUCGUCAAAAUGCCAUAUUAAAGUGAUCUGUUUCAAAAAAUUCAGAUGAAUGUAUUGUACAUUUAUUUGAUCCAGUGAUAGUUCAGUCCCUUUUGAGUUAUUCAUAGAUUUUCUUUAAGUCCAUUCCCUUCCCCUUAAUAUAAAAUAAAUUAAAUUAUAAAAUUAUUAUCGUCUUCGAAAAAAAAAAUACCAAAUAUUGGUAGAUAUUGGCUCAAAUAUAGUAGUAUCUCCAGCUCCAGUGAACUGAACACAAGUGCUGCUGGGCGGCAGGACUGAGGUUGAGGUCUCGAACAGAUCAGACCAGUGUGAGGUAACCAAACCAUCUUGACAGCUAUUUUGUCCGGUUGGGCACGUGUCUCAAUCCACAACCGACACGUUAUGGCACAUGAGUCCGCUUCAGCGGUGUGUCUGGUCUGGGCAGGGCUAAUGCGGGUUACUUUAUGCCCAACUCUGCUGCGCAUGCCAUGUCAGAUAUCUGCUUCAAUUAAGAAGGCCGCCAUUAUAUCUUUCCAUGGGACCCACCAGGAUUCCCACCGCUGGACCGCUCCACCAUUGUCAUUUGGCAUUUAGCUCCAAAGAAAAGGAAUAUCAACACUUAAAUUAAAGGAAUAAUUUUAGAAACCUUCCUUGAGGUUUUUAACUAUUGCAAGAAGCUCACUUCUAGUUUAAAAAUUUACAUUUACCUCCAAUAUGAUUAGCAUUUCAGUAACAAUAUAGAUCGAGUAUGUGAAAUUUAUCCUAAAAAAAUUCUAAAAUACUCCUUUGUUACUUAGAAGUGGGAAAACUCACUAAUAAAUUUCUUUCACGUUGCAACUAUACCACCCUAACGGACUUAAUAAACCACUUCAGUUUAAUUUUCAUAUUCUCACAGUUUUGACAGCCUAUCAUUGUUGUUCCAAAGCUUUCCAUGCAAAUCAAUUAUGACAUCUUUAUACCUUCAUUUAGCAUGACAACAAAUCUGGUCCAGCAACUUGGCAUUUGAAAUUUUCAAUUCAAUAAUACUUACACAAAAAAGGAACACCAAAAAAAAAAAAAGAGAAAGGAUCUAUUUCUAUAAUAAUAAGGAUUUAAGAUGUAUUAGAUGGCAGUUGCGAAAAAUAGUGAAUUAUGAGAUACAGGAGAAAAAAUAUAGAAGAAACGGUCGGAGAGAAAAAAUAAUUGUUUAUUUUGUGUGGCAGUCAUUGUUUUAGACUAGUUGUAGUUGUAUAAAUUUUUUUUUGUAUGAAUUAUUUAUAAGUGAAGGAUAUUAUAGUCAUUUUACUAUAUAAAGGGAGGUUAGUAUAAUUAUUCAAACCUAAAGGGAGGUGAGUGAAAUUGUCAAAUGAGAGGUUUAUGAAAUUAUCCCUAAAUUAAAAACAUCCUUAAUUCUACGCCUUUUUUUUCUUCUAUAUAUAAAGUAUGAACAAUGGGUUCGGUGUUAAAGUAACGUGUCAUUUUUUUAGUUUUCUAAUUUCUUCCUCACAAAAGUGAAGAUUUAUAAGAAUAAUUACUUAAAUGUAGUGCUAACUUCUAAUACUUCCAUUUCUACUAACUUCUAUUUUUUAAUUCGUUUUCCAAAAAUAAUCAUAAACUAUUUUGCAAAACAAAAAAAAAUUCUAAUGAUUUUUAUUGGUUUUAAUAAAACAAUUAAAAAUUUUCUUAAUUUACAUACUCGUAGAAUGUGCUUUUCUCACUGGUAUUACAUAAUCUCAAACUCAUCCCCCGUUUCUUUCUUUCCAUUUGUACAGUUUGAAAUAUCUCUUCAAAAAAAAAAAAAAUACAAGCAGAGUACUAUUUUCUUCGAGAUUAAAAGAUUAAUGAUGUAAAACUUAUUAGAUUUUAAUAGCAAACUCUAGAAUUAGAUGGGGAGAACCUGGAGAGUAUUUACACUUGAUAUUUCAUUUUAAGAAAAUCGUUCAAGACAUCCCUCACAUAUCAUCAAAUGAAUUUUUUUAUCAUUCAUUUUUAAAAUAUGAACUUUACAUCAUUUACAAAUUCAAAUUACCAGAAUUUGAUCUCACAUUAAGUUUUUAACCAAUUUCUAACUUGAAAUCGUUAUGUGAUCUACAUGUAGUCAUUUUUUAUAUACAAAAAUAUCAAAUUUCACAUUUUUAGCAACAAAAAUAAAUAUGGAUUAAGUCGGGAAAAAAUGAAUAUGAUUCGGGUCAUAUCUUACUUUUUUAGGACCAAAACUGAAUAUGAAUCAGAUCACUUUUUUAACUAUAAAUGGAAUAUAAUCCUUGUACUCCUUAAAAAAUAAAGAUUAUAUGUGGAUCAAGUUAUCGAUUCAGAGAAAAAAGUAGUCGGCAGGACCAAAUUUUAUCGACUUAUAAUUUUUGUAAAUGACGUAAAAUUGCGAUAUUAAAAAUGAAGGAUGAACAAAUUGAUUUGACAAAAUGUGAAGGAUGGUUUGAACAAAUUUUCCUCAAUUGUCUUUUUAGUUUAGCAGAUCUCUCUAUUUGGUUAUGUCCUUAUAUAUUACAACUUCCCUUCUUAGCCACUUCAUAUGCAAGUUUGAUAUUUUCAGCAUAAGGAGCAAUGUUGAAGAAAAGUGUUACCCCAAAAAAUUUUUUUGGCUCACCUUCGUGUUUUAUUUCACAAGGCAAAAUAACAAAAAAUGUCCUACCUAAAAGUAAACUAAAAGGUGACAAAAAAAUCAAUUUCCCCCCAAAAAGAAAAUAAUAAAAAAAAGGAAGCCAAAUGGUUGACGGAGUAAUCAUUGUCCAAAAGGGCGAUGAAUACUAGGAAUAAUCAUCACUACAAAAAAAAAAAAAAAAGGAAUCUUAUGGCAUACAUCUUCCAUGCAAUCCCACAUUCUGAAAAUUGGACGUUGUGGGGCUUAUGGCCACCAAAUUAGCUUUAUUUAACCUCUGAUCUUAAGUUAUAAACUGCAGCCACCUCAAUUGUCCGACUCAAGAGGGUAUAAAAAGACUUGCUCGAUUCGUUAAAACUCGUGGCUCUAAUUUAUCUCGCGUGCCAAGUCACUUAGCUUUGAUUAGAAUAGUCUUAUAUGGGGGAAAAAAAUAAAAUAAAAUCUAGCAAGAAAAGGAAAUAAAGCGGGGGGACAAAGGAAAAGAAUAAAAGAAGUGGAAUAAUCAACUGGAGGUGGUUGGUUUGGUCCUCGGUCUACACCGGGCAUAGCAAUUAAAUUAGAGCAGCGAGACGAGAUGUCUGCAUCCCUCUAUUCUUCUACAAACUUCAAUUUGCAGGAUGAAGGUGACAAACAAGGAUACCUUACACAUUAAAUGUACUAAACACAGGCAUGAAUGCAGAUCAUGUGGGUGAUGGAGAGCCAGCAACGCAACACAUUCAAUUUAAUAAGUUUGCUGUUCCAACUUAAUACUUGUUUAAUGCCAUCCUAUGCGAACUGGAUAUGCCGACUUAGCUGUCUGGUCCCUCUCCGUGAUAGUUUCCCUCAUUUUGUUUCCCUUCAAUGAAAGCACCAAACUAGCUCAGGAAAACGUACGCUCAGUCUAGCUAAAGCUUUUUUUUACUCUUCGCCUGCUUCUCCUCCGUUCGACAUUUAUGUUUCUACGAUCAGUUAUAAAGUUUUUUUUUUUUUUUUGUUGGGGGGUGGGGGUGGGGGUGGGGUUUGGAAUUCGUUACUUAAUCAAGGAAACCAGCCUUUGAAGGCAUAAAAUGGUUCUUCCAUGCUUGUUAUAGGUUGGGGAACAUCUUUUAAGGCAGUAUGUCACGGUCGAAAACUGCAGAGGCAUGCCUUAAUGGUCAUUACUUGAAGGUGGAGAAUACCACCACACUGCUUGUGGGCAAUUAGCAAGUAACAAGCAAUUAGGUACAACAAGAGCAGGGGUCAUUCUCAAGCGUGUAGCUUUCUUUUUUUUUCAAAAGAAGUAGAGGUGUGGUCAUUGUGGUGGUGGAGCCUUGGUCACAUGGAGAAGCCUUCAAUCAUUACAAACCACGGACUGAUUCAAGGCUCCUUUUUUCUUGGUGCGAAUUAUUACCGCAUCCUCUUCAUCAGUAAAGUCCAGCCACUUUGAGCUGAGAGUCUCAAUGUCUGUUGUGGACAACUGGAGGAGGGCUUGAACAUUCGUACGGAUCUGCCUAUAAGGGGGUAAGGUAAUACAAAUCCUUGGACCCAAAAAAAAAGAAAUUGAUAGAAAUCCCUUCAGCGAGUUGAGAGAUCAACUUAGUUAUUAGAUCGUGUAAAGUGAUGGACAGUUCAUCUCCUGAAGAUUCAAGUACAUUGAUGAAACAAACAUCUGCUGCACAUUGACCGUAGCGUUUCAGCCCAGAUGUCCUCGUGUGCCUUUCUUCUCAAUUAUUAUGAUUAAAUCGCUUUUAUAAAAAAGCAAAAAGAAGGCCCAGUAGGAUUAAUCAGAUUGUGAUGCAAAAAAGCUUCCCCCGAUUCCAACAUUCUUUGUUGGCAGUGAGACCACAACUGACAACCUCUGCUCAGCAAGCGGAAACCUGCUUACAGCUUUCCAUACUUGGCAGCAAACAUGAGUGAAGGUAGGACCCUGAGGAAACAUCCAACCAAUUCAAGUGGGGAUCAGUUUUAACGUGCAUUGCAGGAUAGUCUUUCCCUUCAAAUGUUAUCAAGCAACCAUGCGAACCAGUCUUUCCCAAUCAACCUGGCACAUUUCCUCCACAUAGCAUGUUCCACUCACAAACCAUCACCUGCUAACUCACUGGAAGAAGACCAGAAACCUCAAACUUCUAUUCAAAAUGCAAUACGAGGCACCACUUAAAGUUCUUUGCCUCACUACUACGCUACCCAAUCUUUGAAACAAAGAAUAUAAGAACACACAAUUUCAGCAGAAACACGAUAGGAAAAAUUCUUCUUUUUCCCUGGAAAGUAAUAAUGUAAGGUACAAGGCACAUCCUUAAAAAGCUAUUGUCAUCAAAUUCAAGAUGACCAUUUCCAAAGAAACAAUCAUAUCCUGAUAAAAUGCAAAGGGGAAAAGCACAUUUAAAAUAAAAAAAAAAAAGAUGCUACGAAAGACUGCAGAUGCAGCAGCCAACAAGGACAUAGCACACCACCCCAG